rnacentral:tRNA from 1 species
GGCGGAGUAGCUCAGGUGGUUAGAGCAGCGGAAUCAUAAUCCGCGUGUCGGGGUUUCAAGUCCCUCCUCCGCUACCA